rnacentral:rRNA from 1 species
GUGGGGAAUCUUGCGCAAUGGCCGAAAGGCUGACGCAGCGACGCCGCGUGCGGGAUGAAGGCCUUCGGGUCGUAAACCGCUGUUGCCCGGGACGAACAACUGGUUUCGACCAGUCUGACGGUACCGGGUGAGGAAGCACCGGCUAACUCCGUGCCAGCAGCCGCGGUAAUACGGAGGGUGCGAGCGUUGUCCGGAAUCACUGGGCGUAAAGGGCGCGUAGGCGGCCCCGUAAGCGUGCGGUGAAAGCCUGGGGCUCAACCCCGGGUCGGCCGUGCGAACUGUGGGGCUCGAGCACUGUAGAGGCAGGCGGAAUUCCGGGUGUAGCGGUGGAAUGCGUAGAGAUCCGGAAGAACACCGGUGGCGAAGGCGGCCUGCUGGGCAGUGGCUGACGCUGAGGCGCGACAGCGUGGGGAGCAAACAGGAUUAGAAACCCCUGUAGUCC